rnacentral:rRNA from 1 species
UGAGGAACAUGACCUUCAGCGGGGGAUAGCCGGCCCAACGGCCGGGUAAUACCGCGUACGACCACAUGGGGACAUCCCUGAGUGGUGAAAGCAGCAAUGCGCCGAUGGAGUGCCUCGCGGCCUAUCAGCUAGUUGGUGAGGUAACGGCUCACCAAGGCGACGACGGGUAGCCGGCCUGAGAGGGUGACCGGCCACACUGGGACUGAGACACGGCCCAGACUCCUACGGGAGCAG